rnacentral:lncRNA from 1 species
GGAACAGGAAGUGAAGUCACCGCUACUGCUGUGCUGUGUGAGUUAGCUCGAGUCAAAGCGACUCUAUUGAUUAAAGUUCAGUUAUUAAAGUGACUUCAUCAUUUAUUAAAACCCCGGUUAGGGUUCAGAAGCAGCGGCGCGGGUUCACCACGCCUUUACUGCAGACACAGACACUUUUAUUCAGAAGAAGAGAAGCAAAGUCACUUGUAAUAUUUGUGAUCCACAAUGCCAGAAACAGCUGAUGAUUGAAAGUAUGAUCUGGACGUGAUCAUUCCUGGAUGGACUCAAUAUCUGCCGAAUGCUGAUGUGACGUUAGUCUCCUUCUGCUGAACAAACACGAUCC